rnacentral:misc_RNA from 1 species
GCCUGACAGCACUUAUAUUCAUGAAGUGUAAUGAUUUUAUUUUCUUCCUUCGUCUCCAAAUUUCAAACUGAUUCCCCCUAAGUAUCAUUUUUACGAGACCUCAACUCAAAUAUACUACCACUAGAAUUCCAAUAAUUUUUCCCACAUUUUCUUUCGUCAUAAAAUUUUCUGUCCUCUUCAUUGUUAAAGACUUCAAUGUUCUCACCAUUAUCAACAUUCUCAACAUCUUUUUUCUCCUAUUUCUGCCAUCAGCUUCCUCUUCCUUUCUUGUGCUUUCUCCCUGUCAACCUUUGCAGUACCCUUUCCCAUUGAUGCCCACAGCUGCUCACAUCUUUCAUCCUUCUUAUCUCCACCACCAUGAAAAAUUACAGUGUCCUCAAAAUAGACAGUAACCUUUUUAACACCAAGAUCUGUGGUCUUUCCCUAUUGAAUUGUUGACAUCAAGAGAAGAAUAGAAUCUUCAUUGAAAAUGUCUUGGAAUGCCUUACAAAGAGCUUUUCAAACUCAUUUAUUCUCAGAUUCCCGCCAAUAGCUAUUGCAAUCUUAGUAACUGCCUGAUAAGAUUAUGGAGUACUCUAGAAUGGAUGGCAACAGAAGGGACAUGGUUUGUUGAGAGAAUAUUGGGGUGGAAGCGUGCGAUGGGACAGUUGGCAAAAGGGAACAGAAAUUAGUAUAAAGAGAAGAUGAGGGGAAUGAAAAGGGGGCAUCUAGAACUUAUGGUUUUUUUCUUUGGUGGCAGAGUUUCUUUGCACGGUUAUUCUUCUCCAGGGGCUCUUAGCGGCCAUUUUUAUCUUCUUGUUAUUUUUUUAUUUUCUUUGUUUGCUGCCAUCUUUAUUGAAGUGUACCAAAUUACAGUGCUUCUUCUCCGUUUUUCUUUAAUAAUGAAAUUGUUCCUAAUUCUAUCAUUGCCACCAACAACUUUUCCUUCUAAGAUACUAGUUGACUUUUCAAAACUGAUUCUGUUCUUA